rnacentral:sRNA from 12 species
UUAAGAGGAUGUCAAUGUCAUUACCACAAAUUGUGGAUAUGGGAAUACAUUUGUAGA